UCCCAGUAGCCUCUCGACUCAGAAGCAGCCCCAGGCCAGCAGUGUCUGCCUUUCUGUGGGGAAAGCAGUUCUGUGGAGAAGAUCCCAAGGAAUUGUCAAGGAUUACAGGGUUUUAUUUGCCAGGAGGGGCCUAGUCUGGUUUAGCAGGUGGAUUAUAAUCAAGAACUGCAAACGUAAUAGCCUGCUAUGUAAUUUCAGCCCUUAAUAUGUUUUUGUUAGGGGAGAAAAAUCAUCCAGCAAUUGAGUUCAAGUAAUUCGGGGGGGGGGGAGAGCAGUUCAGGUUUUCCACCCCUUUGUGCUUGUGCCCCAAGUUCUUCCUUCGCUUUCCACAGCAACCAUACAUUUAGUGAAGGCAUCUAACAUGUCAAAGGAGGUACAUUAUUUCUCGUCCCCGUCUAAGCCCUUUUUAAAAGCUGAAUUCCGGUAGAUGAAGGCCCUGGGACUCCCAGCGUAUUUAAGAAGAGGGAAAUGGGAAGAGAUGUCGCCUGCCACCCAAGAGUUUGCAAGGGGCCACCUUAAGCAGAGAAGGAGAAUAAUUUCUAGGCACGCAGUGAUGUUCGUUGCUUUAUGUAAGGCGUGGAGAAGCUGGCACUUUGGUUUUUACUAGAUGACUUUCUGUGUGGAUCUGGAACGGUAGCAAUUUUGUUAACUGCUGCAAAAGGCCAGGCCAGUGACUUGGGCUUUCAAAAUAUGUGCAGGCUUCGCCCUCCCCCCUUUCUCCGCAGUCUAAUGCUAUGUAAUAAAAGAAAAACAGCCUUCAGGCUUAGUAUCUGAAAGGAAAUGUUCUUUUCCCCAAAUGUUCUGCAUAUGUGGACAGCCUCUGCCUCUUUGAAACUGCAACAGCAGGCACAUUUUCAGCCACUCUCAAAUAAACUCUUUACCUCUGAGUACAUUUCUUACAGCUAGCAGUAGAGCAUGUUCCAAGCUGAUAGCUCUCUCCCCUGGAGCAAAGCAGACCUUGCAAUGUAUUCAGAUUCCCAUCCUAUUUUAAAGAGCCAGCUCAGACUAGUUGGGUGGAAUUCAGCCAACUUUUACUCAAGAGUAGACCCUCUGAAAUGAAAAGACCUAAUGGAGUCAUGUUCUUUAAUUUCAGUGAGCCUAUUCUGAGUAGGCCUAGUGUUGAAUUCCACCCUGUUUCAAAUUUCCAGGUGCCAGCAUCAGUUUAUAGGCACCCAAGUGGCGAGACCCCAGGAGGCAGACUCAAACCAGGGUCAAGUUAAUUGCUUGAAUGCAAUUAAAGUACAGCACACAAAUUAUUUUGGUAUGUAAAUAGCAGCCAUGGUGAAGCCUGCAAAACCUUGAGAUCGUGGCAGAGGGUGGAGAGAGGUCUCUAAGUGUGCCGAAGUCCAGAAGGUGCUCUUUACAUUUCAAAGAAAGACUCCAUUGGCAGCUAUCUAGAACUUGUUGCUGGGACCACAGUGAGUAAAGUGGAACUCCCCCUCCUGGUCCCUGUGGUUCUGAGGCUGAUCAGAUAUGGCAGCUACUAACAUAACAAACAAAAAUGUGCUUCUUCACUGCGUUCACGCAAUUAAGGACAGGUCUACCUUGGUCCUCAGAGAGAAGCAUCUGGUACUGCUUCGAGAGCCAUAACACAUGCACCAUAAACCUGCAACUAGAUUCUAGCUCUAGAAUAAGCCUUCCACUCAGCCUAGAAGCUUUCUGCAGUGUUAGAAUGACAUGAAGCGGUGGCAUACGCAGGCAUACAUUCAAAGCAGAAAUGCCACUGGACUAUUUGGUGUGUUUGUGCGGGUAAAGAGAGUUCUAAAACUCCAGCUUAGAGAGGGAGACAGGUGCAGUUGUUAUUUUUACAUGGCCCUUAAAAAAAAAAAAAGCAUCUGGGAGCCUUCUCUUGAGUGUUAAGCCAUUCUAUCACACUUUCCUGAGUAGAAAAAGCCUCACUUGGAAAGGCAUUUCAAUUGCAGAAAGGACAGCGAAAGAAAUUACUUUGUGCUCUAUCACAUUGUAUUUCAGGAGAGGACACAAUGAGCAACCGAGGUCUAAGCCAAGAGCAAAAACAGAAGGAACUGCCUCCUGCCAACUUCUAAGACAAAAAACGGCUCCUAUUUCAGCUGAGAUGUGUGUUACCUGGUAACUAAAAGCAGUCACAAUUAAGCCUCAGGUGCUCCUAAAGAGAAUUGCUAGGAGAUCAGUUCGACAAGUCACAGCAAAUGUUUCUCUUUAUAUUGAAAAAAGUACUUCGCCUUUUGAUGCUUAUGUACAACAGCUAAUACUUGUGCUAUAUAUUUUGAGUCAUUGCUUCUGUUUUAAUACACUGAAAGACGAGAGCUGUUCUGUUGUAUUUCUAAUGAAGACACUGAUCACACUUAAAUAACCAGCAUUUAUCAUAGUGACAAAUGAAACUGUAAAGUGCACCCCCCCCCAUUUACAAAGAGAGCAGGUGACAAACCCAUCAGUGCAAAAAUCCUGUGAAAUCACAACACAGUACCGGGGGGGGGGGAGAGAAGAAGAA